AAAUGAAUUGACGGGGACCCGCACAAGCAGCGGAGCAUGUGGUUUAAUUCGAAGCAACGCGAAGAACCUUACCAGGACUUGACAUAAUAUUGACCGGUAUAGAGAUAUACCUUUCUCUUCGGAGACAGUAUUACAGGUGGUGCAUGGUUGUCGUCAGCUCGUGUCGUGAGAUGUUGGGUUAAGUCCCGCAACGAGCGCAACCCUUAUCUUUAGUUGCCAGCACGUAAUGGUGGGAACUCUAAAGAGACUGCCGAUGAUAAAUCGGAGGAAGGUGGGGAUGACGUCAAAUCAUCAUGCCCUUUAUGUCCUGGGCUACACACGUGCUACAAUGGUUAACACAAAGAGAAGCUAAACAGCGAUGUCAUGCAAAUCUCAUAAAGUUAAUCUCAGUUCGGAUUGUAGGCUGCAACUCGCCUACAUGAAGUCGGAGUUGCUAGUAAUCGCAGAUCAGAAUGCUGCGGUGAAUGCGUUCCCGGGUCUUGUACACACCGCCCGU
rnacentral:rRNA from 1 species